rnacentral:rRNA from 1 species
ACGGAGCGAAUAGCUCCGAUGAUGACGGUACCCUUUAGCAAGCACCGGCUAACUCUGUGCCAGCAGCCGCGGUAAGACAGAGGGUGCAAACGUUGUUCGGAAUUACUGGGCGUAAAGCGCGUGUAGGCUGCUCGACAAGUCGGAUGUGAAAGCCCCUGGGCUCAACCUAGGAAGUGCAUUCGAUACUGUCGAGCUUGAGUCCUGGAGAGGAAGGCGGAAUUCUCGGUGUAGAGGUGAAAUUCGUAGAUAUCGAGAGGAACACCGGUGGCGAAGGCGGCCUUCUGGACAGUGACUGACGCUGAGACGCGAAAGCGUGGGGAGCAAACAGGAUUAGAUACCCUGGUAGUCCACGCCGUAAACGAUGGGUGCUAGGUGUCGCGGGCUUUGACCCCUGCGGUGCCGUAGCUAACGCAUUAAGCACCCCGCCUGGGGAGUACGGCCGCAAGGCUAAAACUCAAAGGAAUUGACGGGGGGCCCGCACAAGCGGUGGAGCAUGUGGUUCAAUUCGACGCAACGCGCAGAACC